UACAGAGGGUGCAAGCGUUGUUCGGAAUUAUUGGGCGUAAAGGGUGCGUAGGUGGCAUGGUAAGUCGGAUGUGAAAUCCCGGGGCUCAACCCCGGAACUGCAUUCGAUACUGCUGCGCUAGAGUACUGGAGAGGAGAUUGGAAUUUACGGUGUAGCAGUGAAAUGCGUAGAUAUCGUAAGGAAGACCAGUGGCGAAGGCGGAUCUCUGGACAGUUACUGACACUGAGGCACGAAGGCCAGGGGAGCAAACGGG
rnacentral:rRNA from 1 species